UACGUAGGGGCCAAGCGUUGUCCGGAUUUAUUGGGCGUAAAGAGCUCGUAGGCGGUUGGGUAAGUCGGGUGUGAAAACUCCAGGCUCAACUUGGAGAUGCCACCCGAUACUGCUCUGACUUGAGUUCGGUAGGGGAGUGGGGAAUUCCUGGUGUAGCGGUGAAAUGCGCAGAUAUCAGGAGGAACACCGGUGGCGAAGGCGCCACUCUGGGCCGAAACUGACGCCGAGGAGCGAAAGCGUGGGUAGCAAACAGG
rnacentral:rRNA from 1 species